GACGAACGCUGGCGGCGUGCUUAACACAUGCAAGUCGAACGGAAAGGCCCUGCUUUUGUGGGGUGCUCGAGUGGCGAACGGGUGAGUAACACGUGAGUAACCUGCCCUUGACUUUGGGAUAACUUCAGGAAACUGGGGCUAAUACCGGAUAGGAGCUCCUGCUGCAUGGUGGGGGUUGGAAAGUUUCGGCGGUUGGGGAUGGACUCGAGGCUUAUCAGCUUGUUGGUGGGGUAGUGGCUGACCAAGGCUUUGAAGGGUAGCCGGCCUGGGCGGGUGACCGGCCACAUUGGGCCUGCGAGACGGCCCAGACUCCUACGGGAGGCAGCAGUGGGGAAUAUUGCACAAUGGGCGGAAGCCUGAUGCAGCAACGCCGCGUGCGGGAUGACGGCCUUCGGGUUGUAAACCGCUUUCGCCUGUGACGAAGCGUGAGUGACGGUAAUGGGUAAAGAAGCACCGGCUAACUACGUG
rnacentral:rRNA from 1 species